CAGGGGAGCCCUGCGGCGCUCGGGGCGGGAGCGGGCGGGGGCGGCCCCCGAGCCCCGGAGCCCUCGGCCGCCACCGCGGGGGCUCGCCCCGCGAACUCCACACACAGCUCGCCACUCCCAUAUAAAUACAAACUUGUAUAAAAAGGUUGUGUAUAUUUUCCAGGGGCCCCUCCGUUCAGGAAGGACAUUGCGGGGCUGAAGCGCCUCCAAAGAAGAGCAACGAAGUUGGUGAAGGAUCUGGAGCACAAGUCCCAUGAUGAAAGGCUGAAGGAGGUGCCACACAAAGGGUCCUUGGGAUGGAGACUGGAAAUGCCAUGAAAACUGGACCAGGCUCCUAAGCAAAUUGCAGGAAUAAUGAGGAAUGCAUCUUUGAGGAAUGAACGAGCCCAUUUACCCCUGCUACCCAUCCACCUGUGUCUGUGCAGUGGAUUAUGGUGCCAUGAGGACAGAAAACAUGGAAAUAUACAGCUCACUGCUGAGACAAGAGAUUCAAAAUUGUGGGCCACUGCUGUGGCUGCUGAGGGGGCCGACACAGGCCCAGACACAGCUCCAGGGUACCAUCCUAAUGUUUAGCAGUUAUUUAGGACUUUGCUGCUGCCAGUUCUAAUUCUAAGUCUAGGGAGAAGUAAUGGGUGAGCCCAGUCUUUGCAAGACACUUUCUCCAAGAGCGACUGGGAUACAGAUAAAAUCCUGCCACAAGACAGUGAAUGCUGGCAGCCACCAUGCUCCUCUGCUCUUGGACAAUUGUCAUCUUCCCUUUCUCCCACAGCUGCUCCAUCCCUCAUCUCUGCCUGUUGCUCCAGUGUUUCCUCCCAGCUUCCACCCUCCUCCCUCUCCUGGGGUGUACCCUUCUUCAGGAAACACAGCACUGGACGUGUUUCAAGGGGUUUUCAGACAGAGGAUGGGGAAUGAAGAAGGAUCAGCUGGAUCCUGGGAAGGCAAUGUGACAAAAGGAAAAGAGUCUGAGAGCUGUCAAAACAGAUGCAAGUACGGAGUUAUAUUAAAACGGUGCAAGUUGUUCAUUUUUAUCCAGUAAAUAGGGCAGCAAAUCUGGCAGAAGAAACUCACUUAAAAGCCUGUAAGUGAGCUCAGUGACCUGGCACUGUCAGAUUAGUUUCCUUAUGUGAUGCAUUGCUGAACGUAAUGUGUCAUCAUAAAUCUUGGUUGCUACAGCUGUUAAAGCCAUAAAGUGAAGCAGAGUUAUUAAUACCCAGUAGUAGUAGCUGUCAGGCUCCAUUCUGUAAUUGAGCAUCAGAUCUGCAGUUGGAAAACUCUUCUUUUUUGUCUGACAUGUGGAGUAACUGCAUGUCUGCAGAUGCCGAGAGAGUGGAGACAGGUAGGAACAUCCCACCCACGCAGGGCUGUGAUGAAAUCCUCCUGCAGAGCAUCAAGAGUGUGCCUCUUUCUCUGUUGUUUCUCUAGCUGCCUCUGCAAGUCUGAGGUUUCCUGCUGGGAGAUGAAGCAAUUCUUCCUCUUGGUAUAUGGAUAAAGGUAAACACAUGAAUACAGACACACAGAGUGUAGUUAUGCAGGAAAGGGCAGCCUUUCAAAAAUCAGAAGAUAAAUUUGCUGCUAGAAGCACAGAGACUGCUGGAAAGUCCUUGCUCUAAGGGAUGCGAUCCUGCCAUGGAGGACUUCCCAGCUCCCACAGAGUUCUAAGCUCAGCAAAACACCCUUUCUCCAUGAGGCAAGAAAUGGUACCAGGCCCCUUCACCAGCUGGACCCAUGCAAAGUAAGUUCCUGCUGCAUUUAGAUGUGAGGAAGACACAGAAAUCCAGAGCUGCUGUCUCUCACAUAUGGCUUUUUGAAGAUGUCCCCACUACUUCACUGUGUGCCACCUCUGGCAACCCGGGCUGUGGGCUGCAGACUCUUCUCACAAAUCCUCUGAUGUACAGACCCCAAAUGACCCAUAAGCCAGAAGGGACAGAGCCACCCUGCUGUGCAAUGAAGAUGCAGACCAAUUCUUCUAGGAGGGAAGAGAGUGUUAUGCCUCUGCCCAGGUGCUUUUGCUCGCACAGCAGGAAAAUCGGUUUUGCUGUAUCCUGGUUGUGCUGUGAGGAUCCAUCUCUGGGCAGCCCAGAGAAGGCUGGCAUUUUCCUUUCCCUUAGGAAGCAGCAGGGCAGACACACACAGAGAUGGAAUGCACUUGCUGGAGUGAGUGGGCAGCAGCCCAUCAUCUGACUGGCCUUUUCUUUGCACCUGAGCUCCCGCAACUGCUUAAUUAGUCACACGGUUUCCUGGAACCUGGGGGAGAACAUCACAAUUUUCGGUGGUAGAGGAGAAGGUGAUGGGGGGAGGCGGAGGUGGGGGGAGAACAAGCGUUUGCAAAUCAGACUGAAAAAAAUAUUUACUCUAAUUUGGGAGUCAUGAGCAAACUCAGGACACAUCGCCUCAGGCUGCAGGUGGCAAACACAGCGAAGGGGGUGUGCAGAGAAACAGUGAGGUUUAGGGAGUGCAGUUUUGGUCAUGUGAAGCCAUUAGGUACCGAGCUGUCUGUGGGCUCUGCCCCAAGGACUUUGUUCUUACCCCCACUACAGCUUUUCAGUUUGAAAUCACAUCUUUUUCACAUUCCCUGAUUAUCCAUGGCUUUAGAAAGCAGCGUGGAGGACUGCAGUGCUAACACUACCACUGGACCAACCUCUUGGGAUCCUGCAUCAAGCCCUGUCUGGUUUUAGUUGCAGACAGUACUGUUUGCCCCUGCACACUCACAGAUUUGAAGGUUAACAGAGAUUAUUGACCACCCCUUAGUAUUCACAUAAUACCUGGAUAAUAUAACCCUGCUGUAAAACUCAUAGCCCCUUCAGUAACUUGCAGUUGUCUGCAGACUUUUUUCAGAUCCCUCAAGAAAUGAAUAAUCUGUUUUUUCCCCGUGGUAGUUUGCUACAACUGUUACCUGCUUUCACAAGUAAAGGUCCAUACACAGUUUUAUCUGGUUUUAAUUUCCACCUAUCUUUCUUUUCAGUAUGUAUGCUUUUUUCACCCUGCUGUUACUGGAAAGUUGCCUGCAUUUUUAAAUGCUUUUUCAGUAAA